rnacentral:rRNA from 1 species
UACGUAGGGGGCAAGCGUUGUCCGGAAUCAUUGGGCGUAAAGAGCGCGUAGGCGGAACUUCAAGUCCGGUCUGAAAGCCCCCGGCUCAACCGGGGAGGGUGGCUGGAAACUGGGGUUCUUGAGGGCGAGAGAGGAGGGUGGAAUUCCUGGUGUAGCGGUGAAAUGCGUAGAGAUCAGGAGGAACACCCGGGGCGAAGGCGGCCCUCUGGCUCGACCCUGACGCUGAGGCGCGAAAGCGUGGGGAGCGAACGGG